GGAUCAGAGUGUUCCAAAGCCAGAAGAGGAAGUUGCUCAGAAGAAAAAGAUCUCUCAAAAGAAGCUGAAGAAGCAAAAACUUAUGGCUCGGGAGUAAAUCUGACAUAAAAGAU